rnacentral:rRNA from 1 species
GAUCCUGGCUCAGGACGAACGCUGGCGGCGUGCCUAACACAUGCAAGUCGAACGGGGUUGAGUGCUUCGGUAUUCAACCUAGUGGCGAACGGGUGAGUAACGCGUGAAGAACCUGCCUUUCAGUGGGGGACAACAGUUGGAAACGACUGCUAAUACCGCAUGACGCUUCUUGGGGGCAUCCCCGAGAAGUCAAAGCUUUAUGUGCUGAAAGAUGGCUUCGCGUCUGAUUAGCUAGAUGGCGGGG